rnacentral:rRNA from 1 species
UACAGAGGGUGCGAACGUUGCUCGGAAUAACUGGGCGUAAAGCGCGUGUAGGCGGUCCGUUAAGUCGGCUGUGAAAUCCCAUAGCUUAACUAUGGAAGUGCAGUCGAUACUGGCGGACUUGAAUCCUGGAGAGGGUGGUAGAAUUCCUGGUGUAGAGGUGAAAUUCGUAGAUAUCAGGAGGAAUACCGGUGGCGAAGGCGACCACCUGGACGGGUAUUGACGCUGAGACGCGAAAGCGUGGGGGAGCAAAACAGGAUUUAGAUACCCCCCGUAGUCC